UACGUAGGGUGCGAGCGUUAAUCGGAAUUACUGGGCGUAAAGUGUGCGCAGGUGGCUUCGCAAGUCGAGUGUGAAAUCCCCGGGCUUAACCUGGGAAUUGCGCUCGAAACUACGGAGCUGGAGUAUGGCAGAGGGAGGUGGAAUUCCACGUGUAGCGGUGAAAUGCGUAGAGAUGUGGAGGAACACCAAUGGCGAAGGCAGCCUCCUGGGCCAAUACUGGCACUCAUGCACGAAAGCGUGGGGAGCAAACAGG
rnacentral:rRNA from 1 species